rnacentral:tRNA from 1 species
AACUUUAUAGUCAAUAAUGAUAUUAAAUUGCAAAUUUAAAGGAGUAAAAUAGUUAYUAAAGUUU